GGCUUAGAGUUUGAUCAUGGCUCAGGAUGAACGCUGGCGGCGUGCCUAACACAUGCAAGUCGAGCGAAGCACUUUGCUUUGAACCUUUCGGGAGGACGAGUGAUUUGACUGAGCGGCGGACGGGUGAGUAACGCGUGGGCAACCUGCCUCACACAGGGGGAUAACAGUUAGAAAUGACUGCUAAUACCGCAUAAGGCCACAGCACCGCAUGGUGCAGGGGUAAAAACUCCGGUGGUGUGAGAUGGGCCCGCGUCUGAUUAGGUAGUUGGUGAGGUAACGGCUCACCAAGCCGACGAUCAGUAGCCGACCUGAGAGGGUGACCGGCCACAUUGGGACUGAGACACGGCCCAAACUCCUACGGGAGGCAGCAGUGGGGAAUAUUGCACAAUGGGGGAAACCCUGAUGCAGCGACGCCGCGUGAGCGAUGAAGUAUUUCGGUAUGUAAAGCUCUAUCAGCAGGGAAGAAACUGACGGUACCUGACUAAGAAGCACCGGCUAAAUACGUGCCAGCAGCCGCGGUAAUACGUAUGGUGCAAGCGUUAUCCGGAUUUACUGGGUGUAAAGGGAGCGUAGACGGACUUGCAAGUCUGAAGUGAAAGCCCGGGGCUCAACCCCGGGACUGCUUUGGAAACUGUAGGUCUAGAGUGCUGGAGAGGUAAGUG
rnacentral:rRNA from 1 species